rnacentral:rRNA from 1 species
GACGAACGCUGGCGGCGUGCCUAAUACAUGCAAGUAGAACGCUGAAGGAGGAGCUUGCUCUUCUGGAUGAGUUGCGAACGGGUGAGUAACGCGUAGGUAACCUGCCUGGUAGCGGGGGAUAACUAUUGGAAACGAUAGCUAAUACCGCAUAAGAGUAGAUGUUGCAUGACAUUUACUUAAAAGGUGCAAUUGCAUCACUACCAGAUGGACCUGCGUUGUAUUAGCUAGUUGGUGGGGUAACGGCUUACCAAGGCGACGAUACAUAGCCGACCUGAGAGGGUGAUCGGCCAAACUGGGACGGAGACACGGCCCAGACGCCUACGGGAGGCAGCAGUAGGGAAUCUUCGGCAAUGGACGGAAGGCUGACCGAGCAACGCCGCGGGAGUGAAGAAGGGUUUCGGAUCGGAAAGCUCUGUUGUAAGAGAAGAACGAGUGUGAGAGUGGAAAGUUCACACUGUGACGGUAGCUUACCAGAAAGGGACGGCUAACUACGUG